rnacentral:rRNA from 1 species
CAAUAGCGUAUAUUAAAGUUGUUGCGGUUAAAAGCUCGUAGUUGGAUUUCUGCUGAGGACGACCGGUCCGCCCUCUGGGUGAGUAUCUGGCUUGGCCUUGGCAUCUUCUUGGAGAACGUAGCUGCACUUGACUGUGUGGUGCGGUAUCCAGGACUUUUACUUUGAGGAAAUUAGAGUGUUUCAAGCAGGCACACGCCUUGAAUACAUUAGCAUGGAAUAAUAAGAUAGGACUUUGGAACUAUUUUGUUGGUUUGCGUUACAAAGUAAUGAUUAAUAGGGACAGUUGGGGUGAUUCUGUAUUCGUUUGUCUAGAGGUGAAAUUCUUGGAUUUCCGAAAGACGAACUACUGCGAAAGCAUUUACCAAGGAUGUUUUCAUUAAUCAAGAACGAAAGUUAGGGGAUCGAAGACGAUCAGAUACCA